rnacentral:lncRNA from 1 species
GGGAACUGGAAAUACUUACUUUGGGGCUUUUCGGCUGGAAAUACUUGCAAAAAAAAGGAAAAUACUUGCAAAAAAGGGGAUAAAUCGUUAGAAGCAUCAUUGAUAUGUUGCUGUCAACCAAACUUUUAACUCUUUCAUCUGAAUUCAAGUCAUCUAGAUGAGCGUUAUUAAUUCAGUCAGAUCGCAACAUCACUCAUCAUUCAUAUUCCCUGACAUAUUCACAGAUAUUAUAACUGUAGACAACUUAAAACAUCAAGUAAUAAUAUUA